ensembl:lncRNA
CCAAUAUCCUGCCUUUAACCGCCCCACCCGCUGCCCCUCCCCUUGGCCAAAGCUAAGUAAAUCUAAUUCAGCUCUGUGCGUUGAGAAGAUUCUCGAGGCUGAUGAUGUAAACAUGCCUUUAGGCAGCUACCUUAGCUGGGCAAAGGGAUGGUAUGGCAGUUGGCAGUCUGAAUCCAGCUGUCACCACUUUUGAGUCAUGUAAACUUGAACAAAGCAUGUCACUUUUCCUCUCUGAUUAAAUGGAGAUCAUAAAACCUCACCAAAUUGUUAUGAAGCUUAACUAAGACAGUAGAGGUGAAAACCAUGUUAGUCAUUAUUACCCUGGUUUAUGCAGCAACAAAACCACGUUAGGGAAGGAGAUUUUCAAUUAGCCUUUGCUACAGGGGCCUCUUGCAAACAGGAAGCCCUAUGCCCUCUUUAGAGAUGAGUCCAGAAACCCCCAUGAAACCACAAGUCCCUGGGCACCAAUUCUCAGGACAAGGCUGAGUUUGGGCCCUGAUAGAGACUGAAUCUUGAACAUGGGAUACUAGGCCACCCAAACUGUCCAUCAUGAAGUCGGUAUUAUUUGAUGCACUGAGUCCUAAGUUGAAGCAGCACUCAGUGUACAACGGAAUGGCAUAUACAUGACAAGGCUCAAGCAGGUCUAAAAGCUCAAGAAAUUUGCAUGAGCAGGUGCAAGUCUGAAAGACAAGCGUGAAGGCAAAUCCUGCCGAAAGGCAGAGCUUUAAGCAGUACAUUUGUUGUUCACUUCAUGCAGAAGGAGAGAUGGCCGAGGUUCUGGAGGCUGGGAAGGCCGAGAUCAAGGUGCCUGCAGAUUUGGUGUCUGGCACGGAGGAGAGCAGCAGAGCCCCGCUCAGAUGGCAGAUGACCAGACAGGCUCCCUGCACACCCAUUUCUUGGACCAGUGGAAGGUCCCCAAACCAUGACACAACCUUACAGAUGGGGAGCCCAGCCAGGACCCAAGUUAGCUUCUUCUGCGAGACCAGACACGAAACUGAAGGGUUUUUGGCCAGGUUUUCUGCAGUUAACAAGACACACAUUUCUUCUCUCUCUGGUGUGUGAAAUGGGGUGGAGAUGCAUAAUAAACAGGACCCAUGCUGAUGGAGCAGCCUCCAUAUGGAAUAUUGUUAGUCAUUGUGGCAGAGGGAAAGGAAAUGUGGAGAAUCAUGUGCUAAUUCUUAAAGCUUCUACUUCAAAAUGGUCCACUUCACUUCAGCCAACAUAUGUUCCUCCUGAGUUCAACAGUGUGAGAGUGUGGGCUUUCAUAGAGGAAAGGGAAAGGGGAAAAUUCAAGGAGAAUGAAAGGGUUAAGUAUUUCAAAAUACUAUGCUGUAAGUAAGAACAGAAAGCACAUGCUUCUAAGGGUCAUGCUAAGAGGAUUCAGAACGUGAAUCAAUUAUUUUGUGGUGAUGUUAAACAUACCACAAUUGGUACCGUCAAGUUCAAAUUCUCAUAGAAGUAGAUGUUGUGGUGAACCACAGAAGUAAAUACAGUCACUUAGGGAAUGCCACUCACAAAGAACAUCUGUGAAUAAGGCCACUGUGUGAAAAUGGCGCGGUAUGUCAGCAUGGGUUGCAUCCCUGACUCUUCCCUUUCUCUCACACCUCACAUCCAAUCUGUCAGCAAAGCCUUCAAAAUACUAUACUCUGCCUCUCACCACUGUUACCCCCAUCUAGCCACCUAACUGGACCCCCAACUUCUGCUUUGGCCCCAAGGAGGAUCCUGGACAAACAUAUGACAGGUCAUCUCUCUCUUAGUCUGAAAACCUUUUCACACAGAUUAAAAUUCAAAGUGCUUACAGUGCCUGCAAGGACUGAUGCUGACCUUCUGUUACCUGAUGGCCUCAUUCCUCUUCACUCCCUCUUCUGCAGCUGCUCUGGCCUCUGUGGGAAACGCCGGGUACUCUCCCCACUUAGGGCACCGGCUGGUCCCUCUGCCAGGAACACACUUUCCCCAGUUACCUGCAUGGCUUUUUUCCUCACAUCCUUAGGGGUUUGCCCAGAUGUCACCUUCUCUUUUAGGAC